rnacentral:lncRNA from 1 species
GCCCUCCUGUGUCUGCAGCCAGCUGGCAUUCAGUUCACCCAAAUGCUGCUUCCUAGGAUUUCUACCUGGGCUCCGCUCAGAGCUGCCGGACCCACGCCGCGCCCGCCCCGGCGCGGAGCUGCGCCGCCCGCAGACUGGACUUCCAGCAGUGCGACGGGCUUUCCAUCAGUGCCACUCACAGCCAUGUGCCACACUGAAGAAUUUCCUCACCCCACCUGUCAUCCAUCUCCUGCUGUCUGGAGCAUUUCCUGUACACAGGGCCCUGAGCUAGAUGCUGGGAAUACAGCAUUGAAGAGGAGAGCCAUGAUUUCUGCUCUCCUGGCAGGUAAGACACACAUGAAAUAACUGGUUACACCAAUAAAUGUUUAAUUA